GAAACCGCGAGCGCUGGACACAGAGGGCUUGAGCUGGACCUGACCUGAAAGCUGCCUUCCUUCAGUCUGGCUUCCGUAGUACUGGAGAGAAACAUCCAUUGUUCCAGAAAAGCAGUUUCCCACAACUUCAAGCCAGAAAUCCACCUAUCACCCACAUCAGGAGGACAACAGGAACAAUAAAGAUUACAAAAGGCACCACUCAGAUGCUGUCUUGCAGCUGCUAUACAGCUCUUGAUGUUUGUGCCUCCUCUUCAAGUUGGACAGUUAGAGGAAGGGCUGUGCUUUCUUCAGCAUGUGUUACCCAGGGUGCUAUGGUACAAUUCAACCUUCGUGCGUUUCUCCCCAUGCUGACAAACAUGUCAGGGGCUUCCAUCUGUCUGCUGUCAGAAGCCGUGUAGCAGGAACAUUCUCAAGGAUGUAAGGCAGCCUGCUUUGGUAAAUAAACCCAC